rnacentral:misc_RNA from 1 species
UAUUCUUCCCUGUGUGAAGGAAUUGUCAUCAGAUUCCUCUCAGCAUGUCCGUUCAGCUCUAGCCUCAGUUAUCAUGGGAAUGGCUCCUGUGCUGGGAAAGGAUGCUACUAUUGAACAGCUGCUUCCGAUAUUCCUUUCUCUGCUUAAGGAUGAAUUUCCCGAUGUGCGCCUCAAUAUCAUUAGCAAGCUUGAUCAAGUAAAUCAGGUUAUUGGAAUUGAUCUCUUGUCUCAAUCACUGUUACCUGCCAUAGUUGAACUUGCUGAGGAUAGGCAUUGGAGGGUUAGGUUAGCAAUUAUAGAAUAUAUUCCUUUACUGGCAAGUCAGCUGGGUGUAGGGUUUUUUGACGAUAAGCUUGGCGCGCUUUGCAUGCAGUGGUG